rnacentral:lncRNA from 1 species
ACCUGCAGCAUAUGGAAGUUUCCGGGCUAGGGGUUCAAUCAGAGCUGCAGCUCCUGGCAUACGCCGCAGCCACAGCAACACCAGAUCCAAGCCACAUGUGCAACUUGCACCACAGCUGGUGGCAAUGCUGGAUCCUUAACUUACUGAGCGAGGCCAGGGAUUGAACUGAAAUCCUCAUGGAUACGAGUCAGGUUCUUAACCCACUGAGCGACAACAGGAGCUCUGCAUUAUGAAUGCUUAUGAGUUGUCUUUACUUCUUUCUCUCUCUCUUUUUUCGCCUGGCACCAUUUUUUUUUAUUAGCUUCUCAACCAUCAUCUGGCAAGAAAACAUUCUAGAAUAACGUCAUUAAAAAUGGCUCUGAUAAAGCACAGUCACUGCUACAUAUCAUAAAGCAGGUACAAGAUAUGUCACAUUCUCAGAGGUAUGAAACAGUACUGUCCUACAUCUAUAAUACUAGAGGAUAUACUUAAAAAGGGAUUAUUCGAGACUUGAUUCUACUUUUCCAGCAGAGAGCCCAAAGGAUGCUUAUGACACAGCUCUGUACAGAAAUGCAUCUUCUUAGAUAGAAUUUCCUUUCUUUAGUGGCACAGCUCUAGGUACUCACUGCUCUUCAUGAACAUCAGCUAAAAACUGUUUUAAAAAUAAACAAAAACCCACCAUUGGAUGCGUACAAAGAUGACUCUGUAGAGGCAAGCAAGGCUCAGGUAACCUAACUAGUAUUUGCCCAGCUCUGUUGUUUCUGAAUCUUUCUUUUUUUAAUGCCAAACUUGUUUGAUACGCAUAUCAGUUGAGUAAAAAACCCUUUCUCGCAGAAUCUGGUGAACGAUGAGCACUUGGAAAGGCCUGUAGGGUCACGAGGUGACCAACAGGAGUUGUUCUGGGUGGGCAUCCUGUCAGAUAGACUUGCCACCCACCACGUUUCCAGCUAUUGGGAGUGGGUCCCUCCCUCCCUCCCUGCGCUCGCAGAGCAGCCUGGAGCACCCUAUGCUAGCAGUGUUCUUUCCACACAUUAAUUCUUUUUAUUUAUUUAUUUAUUUUGUCUUUUGUCCUUUUAGGGCCACACCCGUGGCAUAUGGAGGUACCCAGGCUAGGGGUCUAAUCAGAGCUGCUGGCCUACACCACAGCCACAGCAACACCAGAUUCAAGGUGCAUCUUUGACCUACACCACAGCUCACGGCAACGCCGGACCCUUAACCCACUGAGCGAGGCCAGGGCUCGAACCCACAACCUUGUGGUUCCUAGUCGGAUUCGUUUCCAAUGCACCAUGACAGGAAGUCCCUCUGCAUGUUACUUCUUGAUACACAUCACUUCCUCCCAACCCCCUUAACUACCCUAUGAGUUAUUCAUUGACCUUUUCAUCUUUAAACAUGUUCAGCCUGUCACAGGGUAGGUUCUCAAUGAAUUUUUGUUGAAACAGGGCAAUUAGGACUCAAAAUUAUUUUAUUGAGAACUUGAAAAACAUUUCUUUUGUUUGUUUGUUUGUUUUUUGUCUUUUUGCUAUUUCUUGGGCCGCUCCUGCAGCAUAUGGAGGUUCCAGGCUAGGGGUCGAAUCGGAGCUGUAGCUGCCCGCCUACGCCAGAGCCACAGCAACGCGGGAUCCGAGCCGCGUCUGCAACCUACACCACAGCUCACGGCAACACCGGAUCGUUAACCCACUGAGCAAGGGCAGGGACCGAACCCGCAACCUCAUGGUUCCUAGUCGGAUUCAUUAACCACUGCGCCACGACGGGAACUUGAAAAAACAUUUCUCUAAGAAAAACAUUACAAAUUGUACUGCAUUACAAGAUGAAUCUGUUAAACGCCUAUCUAACCUCAAUUACUUUUCAUCAUAUGCACGCAAUAAAAAUAGAAAAUACUUAUUUCCAUCAAAUUAAACCAAAGAUUAUAAAGUUAGAAAUAAUCUUGUUUUGAUCUUGAAAGCUAACACCUGAGAAAAAUUUAUCUGAUAAGAGGAAACAGUGAUGGGAGAAUCAUGGAAACCCAAUGACAAUGACCCUUAUAAAAUAUGCAAUGAAGGCGGACAGCUUUACAGAGAUUCCAAAGGGGACUUCUGGUGGUUUAAAGAAUGAGUGUCCCUUUUUUUUUUUUUUUUUUUUGGUUCCUACUGCAUCAAAACCUCUGGCUUUCCUAUUUCUUCUUAUAUAUAUGGUAUUAGAAAUAUGUCCAUAUAGACAGCCCCCACAAUGGCCUUUCUUUUGAGGGUGGGUUAAGGUGCUCGCCAAGAGGAUGGAGUGGCCUGAGACAGAGGAGCGCUUUCUUUCAGUAACUGGGGCCACACUGGAAAUGGGAAGGGACGACAGAAAGGCUAGAGAGACGUGUGCCCACGUGAGGAGGAGUACUCCUCGAUGCAGAGUUACUCCUUUGCUUCUGUGAGUGAGGGAGAGAGAAGGUGGUUUGAGAACCCUGCCUGUGAACAAGGUCCCCGAAGGAGAAAUGAUGACCCAGUGACACGGCUGCCCACAGUGUGGGGACGUUUACUCGCAGGGGAAGGAGAGCAGGCACCACUGCUUGGUCUUAUGCUUGAGACACACGCCAUUCCUGCUGUGGUGCAGUGGGUUAGGAAUCCGACUGCAGCGGCCUGGGUGGCCGCAGAGGUGUGGGUUUUAUCCCCAGCCCAGCACAAUGGGUUACAGGAUCUGGUGGUACUGCAGCUGUGGCUCAGAUUCAGUCCCUGGCCCGGGAACUUCCAAAUGCU